UACGUAGGGGGCGAGCGUUGUCCGGAGUUACUGGGCGUAAAGGGCGUGCAGGCGGUCUGGUAAGUUUGGAGUGACAGUACCCGGCUCAACUGGGUAAGGCCUUCGAAAACUGUCAGACUUGAGGACCAGAGAGGGACAUAGAAUUCCGGGUGGAGUGGUGAAAUGCGUAGAUAUCCGGAGGAAUACCAAAGGCGAAGGCAGUGUCCUGGAUGGUAACUGACGCUGAGGCGCGAAAGCUAGGGGAGCGAACAGG
rnacentral:rRNA from 1 species